CUGCUCCGGAACUCCAGCAACUCACAGGGGAGCACUCCCAGUUCAGCUUUUCCAGAGGUGGGGAGGCCAAUGACCUGGGGCUGGAGACCAGCAGGGGACAUGUUGAAAAUUGGACAGGGUUGCCAUAGCCAUAGAAUUCAUCACCAAAUGGUCAACCUACUGGGGAGAUUCUCUAUACUCAAUCAGGCUGGGCCUCAGAAAACAGACUUGAAUUAAAGGGAGUGUAACGAUUGGAAUGACGCCACCUGCUGGAGACUUACUG